GUGAAUCAUCGAAUCUUUGAACGCAAAUUGCACUCUCUGGUAUUCCGGAGAGUAUGCCUGUUUGAGGGUCAGUUUAAAUAAAAAUCGGUGUGGUUGCUGCCUUUCGUGGUGAUGCACCGGAUGUGGGUCGUCUUGCCUUCGGUUAAGGGAUUUAAAAUUUUGCAAGAUUUUUUCGAACGUAGUUAAAUGAUUUUACGUACGUUUGCGAUAUCGAAUAUCUCGUGUGGUU
rnacentral:misc_RNA from 1 species